AGCGAACGCUGGCGGCAGGCUUAACACAUGCAAGUCGAACGCCCCGCAAGGGGAGUGGCAGACGGGUGAGUAACACGUGGGAACGUACCCUUUGGUUCGGAAUAACUUGGGGAAACUCAAGCUAAUACCGGAUAAGCCCUUAUGGGGAAAGGUUUACUGCCGAAGGAUCGGCCCGCGUCUGAUUAGCUAGUUGGUGAGGUAAUGGCUCACCAAGGCGGCGAUCAGUAGCUGGUCUGAGAGGAUGAUCAGCCACACUGGGACUGAGACACGGCCCAGACUCCUACGGGAGGCAGCAGUGGGGAAUAUUGGACAAUGGGGGCAACCCUGAUCCAGCCAUGCCGCGUGAGUGAUGAAGGCCUUAGGGCUGUAAAGCUCUUUUACCCGGGACGAUAAUGACUGUACCGGGAGAAUAAGCCCCGGCUAACUUCGUGCCAGCCGCCGCAGUAA
rnacentral:rRNA from 1 species